GGUCGGGUAGCUCAGCUGGCUCAGAGCGCGCGCCUUACAAGCGUGAUGUCGCCGGUUCGAGUCCGGCCCCGACCA
rnacentral:tRNA from 2 species